rnacentral:sRNA from 1 species
GAAAAAGGAACUUCUAUUAAGGGCGCCCACGUCCUGUGGGCAACACAGAAGUCAGCACACGCGCG